UUCAACGAAGGAAAUAGGGGCUCUAACAGCAACUUCAGUUGCGCUUGAAACCCAGUUCUCAAACGAGUCAGCUUGAGAAACUUACUCAGAUUGCUCAAGAGACAGUUGAUGCUCUACUACAUGCUGGUGUUGAAACACUUGAUCUCAGCAAAAACCAGCUUUCAUCGCUGUCACCUUGGAUAUCUCAGCUUCAAGGCACUCUCAGCGAUUUGAACGCCGCUCACAAUAAGUUGGCUGUUGUGUGUCCUGAG